rnacentral:rRNA from 1 species
CAGCACCUCAAGUGGUCAGGAUGAUUAUUGGGCCUAAAGCAUCCGUAGCCGGCUCUGUAAGUUUUCGGUUAAAUCUGUACGCUCAACGUACAGGCUGCCGGGAAUACUGCAGAGCUAGGGAGUGGGAGAGGUAGACGGUACUCGGUAGGAAGGGGUAAAAUCCUUCGAUCUAUUGAUGACCACCUGUGGCGAAGGCGGUCUACCAGAACACGUCCGACGGUGAGGGAUGAAAGCUGGGGGAGCAAACCGGAUUAGAUACCCGAGUAGUCC